rnacentral:rRNA from 1 species
CAGAUUGAAGCUUGCUUUGAACUGUUUUAGUGGCGGACGGGUGAGUAACGCGUGAGGAACCUGCCUUUCAGAGGGGGAUAACGUCUGGAAACGGACGCUAAUACCGCAUGACAUUUUGUUGCCGCAUGGUGAUAAAAUCAAAGGAGCAAUCCGCUGAGAGAUGGACUCGCGUCCGAUUAGCCGGUUGGCGGGGUAACGGCCCACCAAAGCAACGAUCGGUAGCCGGGCUGAGAGGCUGAACGGCCACAUUGGGACUGAGACACGGCCCAGACUCCUACGGGAGGCAGCAGUGGGGGAUAUUGCACAAUGGAGGAAACUCUGAUGCAGCAACGCCGCGUGAGGGAAGAAGGUUUUCGGAUUGUAAACCUCUGUCCUCAGGGACGAUAAUGACGGUACCUGAGGAGGAAGCUCCGGCUAACUACGUGCCAGCAGCCGCGGUAAUACGUAGGGAGCAAGCGUUGUCCGGAUUUACUGGGUGUAAAGGGUGCGUAGGCGGCACUGCAAGUCAGGUGUGAAAACCAUGGGCUUAACUUAUGGAUUGCACUUGAAACUGUGGUGCUUGAGUGAAGUAGAGGCAGGCGGAAUUCCCGGUGUAGCGGUGAAAUGCGUAGAGAUCGGGAGGAACACCAGUGGCGAAGGCGGCCUGCUGGGCUUUAACUGACGCUGAGGCACGAAAGCAUG